rnacentral:rRNA from 1 species
CCUACGGGGUGCUGCAGUCGAGAAUCAUUCACAAUGGGGGAAACCCUGAUGCUGCGACGCCGCGUGGGGGAAUGAAGGUCUUCGGAUUGUAAACCCUUGUCAUGUGGGAGCAUAUUAAAAAGAUAGUACCACAAGAGGAAGAGACGGCUAACUCUGUGCCAGCAGCCGCGGAAAUACAGAGGUCUCAAGGGUUGUUCGGAAUCACUGGGCGGAAAGGGUGCGUAGGCGGGUUCGUAAGUCAUGUGUGAAAGGCGGGGGCUCAACCCGAGGACGGCACAUGAUACUGCGGGACUAGAGUAAUGGAGGGGCAACCGGAAUUCCCGGUGUAGCAGUGAAAUGCGUAGAUAUCGGGAGGAACACCAGUGGCGAAGGCGGGUUCCUGGACAUUAACUGACGCUGAGGCACGAAGGCCAGGGGAGCGAAAGGGAUUAGAUACCCCAGUAGUC